rnacentral:rRNA from 1 species
UUAAGUUUCUCUGGUUGAUCCUGCCAGCGGUCACUGCUAUCAGUGUUCGACUAAGCCAUGUGAGUCAAAUGUUCUUCGUGAACAUGGCGUACUGCUCAGUAACACGUGGACAACCUGGCCUAAGGACUGGAAUAACCCCGGAAAACUGGGGAUAAUACCGGAUAAAUCAUAGAUGCUGGAAUGCUCUGUGGUUAAAAGCUCCGGCGCCUUAGGAUGGAUCUGCGGCCUAUCAGGUAGUAGUGGGUGUAAUGUACCUACUAGCCUACGACGGGUACGGGUUGUGAGAGCAAGAGCCCGGAGAUGGAUUCUGAGACAUGAAUCCAGGCCCUACGGGGCGCAGCAGGCGCGAAAACUUUACAAUGCGGGAAACCGCGAUAAGGGGACACUGAGUGCCAGCACCAUGUGUUGGCUGUCCGCAUGUAUAAAUCACAUGUGUCAGCAAGGGCCGGGCAAGACCGGUGCCAGCCGCCGCGGUAACACCGGCGGCCCAAGUGGUGGCCACUAUUAUUGGGUCUAAAGGGUCCGUAGCCGGUUUGGUCAGUCUUCCGGGAAAUCUGACGGCUUAACCGUUAGGCUUUCGGGGGAUACUACCAGGCUUGGGACCGGGAGAGGUAAGAGGUACUACGGGGGUAGGAGUGAAAUCUUGUAAUCCCCGUGGGACCACCAGUGGCGAAGGCGUCUUACCAGGACGGGUCCGACGGUGAGGGACGAAAGCUGGGGGCACGAACCGGAUUAGAUACCCGGGUAGUCCCAGCUGUAAACUAUGCUCGCUAGGUGUCAGGGACGGUGCGACCGUUUCUGGUGCCGCAGGGAAGCCGUGAAGCGAGCCACCUGGGAAGUACGGUCGCAAGGCUGAAACUUAAAGGAAUUGGCGGG